UACUCUGCACGUUGCGCUUGCUGUCGCUAUUGCCUAUGUGACGUUCGUUGCUUUCCCUGCUUCGUCAGAGGCACCACACAAGCUUCAACGGAACUUGACCGACACGUUCGAGCUCUUUGACAAGUUUCCUUACGUUGUACUUGUGUACAGUUCAGGCGAUGAUCCUGAAUUCCAAUGCCUGACCAACAAGCGAACUGAGCUAGAUAUGAAAGCUAAGAAAGCUACGUACGUUUGGAUGUUCAAAGGCCAUAACGGCCGUGAAAGACACGGAACACUCCAUGGUUGCCCACUUUGUGUACACGGACUAUAAAGACUGCGUCAUUGUGGAGAUUCCCUACGAUGGAGAUCAAUGCCAGCUCUGGGUUUCCAAGGAUGUGAAAGACGACGUUCCUCAGCACUGCUUAGAUCAACUGGAGGACAUUUGUGACGUCUCUGAGGAAGAGUACUCGAAAGAGCUCUGCCAGAAUGAGGUGGAUGACCCGUGAA
rnacentral:misc_RNA from 1 species